UGCAACCUAUGUGGGAGCGAGACGGGGACUCACUGUGCUUAUUAAGAAGUCAGUCUUUUUCUCUCUCCUAUACAAAUUGCGGGCGUAUCACCAAUAGCCGAGUGGAGUGUGGUGUGCCACGAAUUAAUCAUAGUUUUGUGCCUACUUAUUAAGCAGACUUGUUUGUAAUUGAAAUGAAUAAAUGCCCUCUAUAUUUCCAGCAGCAGCCAUUCAACUGAAACUGUCUCUUUCCAGUGUGCUCUCUUCUAUCCUCUCCUCUCCAAUCACUUUAUUACACGUUUUAUGUUUUAUCAUUCCACACACACACUCACAAGCACACAAAGUUUUGGACGAGGACGGGCAAAGCUAACGGGUGGGAGGGAGAGGGCGCGCCGAGAACCGUUACGACAGCGCGUGCUUGUUGUUGGUCUUUUUGCUGUUGCCAAGAGUGAAUGAUAUAUUAUUGUUGUAUGGAGGCAAAUGAAACUGUACAAUGAACGGCGGUGGGCAAGGAGGAGGAAUAGAGCGAGAGAGAGAGGCAAACUCGAAGUACAACAAAAGCGAAACUUACGUAAACACGCAUGUCUACGCAUCGGUGUGUGUGUGUGCUUGUGUGUGAAUUAUGUUUCUAGUUUUUCGAAAAGGAGAAGUAGAAAAUCAAGUUUCUAUCGACGGAAUGAAUCAUAUUCCGAUUCCGCAGAAUGAGCCCCAGUCUUCUGAACAAUCUCCAUUUGUCAUGGGACUUUGGCUGGCACUUAUUUUUCCCAUUAAUUAAGGCCUUAUGACUAAGAAUUGCAAUUGCUGGUGAUGCAAUUCCCGCCGUCACUGAAAUUAUUUUGCAAAAAUUAUAUAAAUUGGCUUUUCAGGUGUUCGUUACACGAAUCAUUCGCUUGGAAAUAUAGAUAUACGGGGAAUGGCAUGCCAACAACUCGAUUAGAGAUAUUAUAUUAGUAUAGAAUGCACAGUGUUCGAGGUAAUUGCGUUCGCAGAACGAUUUGAGUGGACCUUGGAAAUUCACACAAUAACUAUUACUAUUCGCAAUGUAUAAUUUAUUUUUUGCAUUCGAAACUUCGACUUUGCAGUCCGGAGUCGAGGCUCCUCUAUCUCUUUCUAACGCCUGCAGCAGCUGACCUUGAGAGCGAGACAAAGCCAACAGACAAACAAAGCGACAGAAAGAGACGGGCGAUCAGAGCAAACAGAUCUGCUAUAUCUACAGUCCGACUUCUAUAACUCGAACUAACACAUUGCGAUUUUCAGUACCAUCUUGUUAUAAAAUGGUUUCAUUAAAUAACUAGUGGGUUUUAACCUGCUAAAGUUAUUUCUUGUAGAUAAACCUUCAAAUAACUCUCUUUUAAGUAGAACCGAUAUACUACUAAUAAUUUCAAUAACAUUUCAUCUAAAUUGGUUUAUUCAAAAUAUAUUGUCUAAUUGUAUUGUUGUUGAAACAUUAUAAUUACAUUUUACUAAUAUUAUAUUUAGGUAAACCCAAACUGUAAAAGAACUUCAAUAAAUUAGAAAUCUAUGUAGUAAUUGGAUUGUUUUUCUGUUUUAAAAUGAUAUAUAUUAGGUAGUCAUGUGAUUGAUUGGCUGGAAGAAAUCAAACAAAUAUUAUAUCUGCUACAUUUAUAUAGUUUCCUUAUGUCAGUUCUAACUGAUCUAUAAAUCUAAUACAAAAUUUGAAGCUGAACUACAGGUUCUAAGCUAGUAUGUGAUAGAUAUAAAUGGAUGGAAUUCUGGAUGUCUGACUGUAGUAUCUGCCCAUACUUGUUACUCAUUAGCGGAGACAUCCCCAUCCCCCGAGCCGAACCCCUUCUUCAAGCAACCAUAACCAUCCGGGAUGAUUCCACAUCGGUUGCUAAGCGAAAAUGACGCCAUCUUGCAUUUGAUGAUCGUCGAAAGCUAGUUUUACAAUAAACCAAUAGAACUGAACUAUGUAUCUAAGGCCCAGCCCAUAAUACUUGAUCUUUGGUCGAUGUGUAAUUAUAAUCCAGUCAGUCCUUCAGCUGCCCCUUGCAACUUUUCGGUGCGGCUUCCACUCGGCGACUCACAUCUUGGCAUUUAAUAAGAAGUUGGCCUUGAAGGCAGCCAGUUUGAAAUUUGUGGAUUCGGUUUCUGAGCCGCACUUCAGCCCCAGAACACAACACUUUGUGCCGAGUGUGUGUGAUUAAUGGGGCUUAUUGCGGUUAGAGAGGCCUGCGCUUGGCUUUGAAUUCGGCUUUGACUCCAUUGGAGCUUUGAGCUUUUCGCUUUUGAUGCAGCAAAGGGUUAAGCCACCUAAGAAAAUCCAGGUGGGUUAAAAAUGACACGAUUCAGGGAUUUGUGGCUGUUAUUUCAGCCCCAGCGAUUUACCACCAUGAAUGAGUUUAUGCCAUUCGGAUGACGUGCUGAAAGCCUCUGAGCAGGUUGUCAAUCAGGUUGUCGCACAUACGUACAUCCCGAGCGGCGCCUUAAUAAUUGAUCCCGCCUGCAGCUGGAUGACGAUGAUGAUGGCAGUGGAGGGGUCGGAUGGGAUGGAUGAGUACACAGACAGAAAAUCUAUAUUAUGAAAAUAAGAUAUGAUAUGAUACGAAAUUAUGAUAUUAUAUAAUAUGAUAUAUACAU